GACAGAGGGUGCGAACGUUGUUCGGAAUUACUGGGCGUAAAGCGCGUGUAGGCGGUCAUGCAAGUCGGGCGUGAAAUCCCUGGGCUCAACCGAGGAAGUGCGCCCGAAACUGCGUGACUUGAGUUCCGGAGAGGAUGGUGGAAUUCUCGGUGUAGAGGUGAAAUUCGUAGAUAUCGAGAGGAACACCAGUGGCGAAGGCGGCCAUCUGGACGGAAACUGACGCUGAGACGCGAAAGCGUGGGUAGCAAACAGG
rnacentral:rRNA from 1 species